AUUGAACGCUGGCGGCAGGCCUAACACAUGCAAGUCGAGCGGAUGAAGGGAGCUUGCUCCUGGAUUCAGCGGCGGACGGGUGAGUAAUGCCUAGGAAUCUGCCUGGUAGUGGGGGAUAACGUCCGGAAACGGGCGCUAAUACCGCAUACGUCCUGAGGGAGAAAGUGGGGGAUCUUCGGACCUCACGCUAUCAGAUGGGCCUAGGUCGGAUUAGCUAGUUGGUGGGGUAAAGGCCUACCAAGGCGACGAUCCGUAACUGGUCUGAGUGGAUGAUCAGUCACACUGGAACUGAGACACGGUCCAGACUCCUACGGGAGGCAGCAGUGGGGAAUAUUGGACAAUGGGCGAAAGCCUGAUCCAGCCAUGCCGCGUGUGUGAAGAAGGUCUUCGGAUUGUAAAGCACUUUAAGUUGGGAGGAAGGGCAGUAAGUUAAUACCUUGCUGUUUUGACGUUACCAACAGAAUAAGCACCGGCUAACUUCGUG
rnacentral:rRNA from 1 species